rnacentral:rRNA from 1 species
AUACGGAGGGUGCAAGCGUUAUUCGGAAUCACUGGGCGUAAAGGACGCGUAGGCGGGGUGGAAAGUCAGGUGUGAAAGCCUACAGCUUAACUGUAGAACUGCACUUGAAACGCUCACCCUAGAGUAUGGGAGGGGCAGAUGGAAUUAGUGGUGUAGGGGUAAAAUCCGUAGAUAUCACUAGGAAUACCGAAAGCGAAGGCGAUCUGCUGGAACAUAACUGACGCUAAGGCGUGAAAGCGUGGGGAGCAAACAGGAUUAGAAACCCUUGUAGUCC